AGAUGUCACAUUUGUCAGUCGUUUACAGCGUGUAAAAUGAAAAUGUUUUUACGGGUUUUAUUGCUGCUAUUCUGUUUCCUUUAUCGUCAUUGCCACGCACAAAUAAUUGAGAAAAUCACGGCAAUGCCGAACGGAAUAAGUACUACAAUGAGCGAUGCAAUGAUCUUAUCGACUGCCAUGGUUUGCACUAUGUUUUCCGUCGUAAUUGUCUUAGUUCCUACAGUACUAUAUUACAGAUACUGCUCUAAGGAAAAGGUUGAUGAAUAAUGGCUGCUACCUAAAUUAAAUAUCAUUGAUCCUAUUGGAAUUUGAAAUCAUCUAUUUUACGGACCAAAUUGAAUUGUUAAGUAAAUUUAAGCACUCGUGUAAGAUUAAAAUAAAAAAGAAUGUAAUUAAAUUUUUUAUUAUAGAUUGAC